GAGAACUGCCUCGAGGGGUCGGGCGCAUCCGACCUCGCAACCCGGGGUCGACCAAACUCUGACAGACCCACAGAAAGCGACCGUGUGGUCACAGCACAAACUCACUCAGUCUAGCAUCCCAAACGUGUUGCAAAGGAGUCAGAGAUCAAGCUAAGAUCUGAUUUCAACUGAGGUCAUUACAAGGUUGUUCCUAAAACACAAGGAAUACUCAACUCAAGGCUAACCUAUUACAGGACUAUCCAAAAUU
rnacentral:lncRNA from 1 species